AGAAUCAACGCUGGCGGCGUGCCUAACACAUGCAAGUCGAACGAGAAAGUGGAGCAAUCCAUGAGUAAAGUGGCGCACGGGUGAGUAACACGUGACUAACCUACCCUUGAGUGGGGGAUAACCUAGGGAAACCUGGGCUAAUACCGCAUAAUACCUUCGGGUCAAAGGAGCAAUUCGCUUAAGGAGGGGGUCGCGGCCGAUUAGUUAGUUGGCGGGGUAAUGGCCCACCAAGACUGUGAUCGGUAUCCGGCCUGAGAGGGGCGCGACGGACGACGACUGGAACUGAAACACGGUCCAGACUCCUACGGGAGGCAGCAGUGGGGAAUUUGCGCAAUGGGGGAAACCCUGACGCAGCAACGCCGCGUGGAGGAUGAAGUCCCUUGGGACGUAAACUCCUUUCGAUCGGGACGAUUAUGACGGUACCGGAAGAAGAAGCCCGGCUAACUUCGUGCCAGCAGCCGC
rnacentral:rRNA from 1 species